rfam:Erinaceus europaeus unplaced genomic scaffold scaffold00738, whole genome shotgun sequence
AAGAGGGGCCAUACUACCCUGAACACGCCCAAUCUCAUCUGAUCUCAGAAGCUAAGCAGGGUCAGGCAUGGUUGGCACUGGGAUGGGAGAAAGUAACGGAGAGUAUGUGCUGAAUCUG